rnacentral:lncRNA from 1 species
GGAUAAUUGUCGAGAACUAAAGGAUGUCCUUCCUGUCAGCAUUUCAAACAAACUGUCCAUUUGUUCAUGAUUGGCUUCAGGAAAACAGUACAGAAACUAGAGGUAUAUGAUUCAAAGUUGAAGUGUGUAUCAAAUAACUUUAAAACUAGAGUAGAUUCUCAAAAUAAAAGCAUAGCUUACUCCUAGAUAAGAAAGAGAUAGAAAGGGCACAAAAUGAAAAGAUCACGUAUACAGCUAUACCUUUUCUUCUCCUCUUCCUCAAUUUUAAUUUUU